rnacentral:sRNA from 13 species
GCCAGGCACGGUGGCGCAUGCCUGCAAUCCCAGCUACUCUGGAGGCUGAGGCAGGAGGACUGCUUGAGCCCAGGAGGUUGGGGCUGCACUGAGCCAAGAUUUUGCCACUGUACUCCAGCCUGGGCCACAGAGCAAAACCCUGUCUCUG